rnacentral:tRNA from 1 species
UAUCAUAUAAUUAUGUUGUAAAAUAAUAAAUUUUUGUAAAUUAUUUAAUUUAGAUAAAUACAAAAUACAUCCUAUAUAUGUAUUUCUAAAAUAAUUUUUUAUUUUUUUAAAUAAAAAAACUUUAUAAUUUAUAGUAAUAUUAUAAUUA